rfam:Triticum urartu cultivar G1812 contig898963, whole genome shotgun sequence.
AGAAUACUCUCUCCGUUCAGAAAUACUUGUCCUCGAAAUGGAUAAAAUAGAUGUAUCUAUAACUAAAAUAAGUCCACGUACAAUCAUUUGGAGGACAAGUAUUUCCGAACGGAGGAAGUAUGUG